rnacentral:rRNA from 1 species
GACGAACGCUGGCGGCGUGCUUAACACAUGCAAGUCGAACGGAAAGGCCCUGCUUUUGUGGGGUGCUCGAGUGGCGAACGGGUGAGUAACACGUGAGUAACCUGCCCUUGACUUUGGGAUAACUUCAGGAAACUGGGGCUAAUACCGGAUAGGAGCUCCUGCUGCAUGGUGGGGGUUGGUAAGUUUCGGCGGUUGGGGAUGGACUCGCGGCUUAUCAGCUUGUUGGUGGGUUAGUGGCUUACCAAGGCUUUGACGGGUAGCCGGCCUGAGAGGGUGACCGGCCACAUUGGGACUGCGAUACGACCCUGCCACCUACGGGAGGCAGCAGUGAGGAAUAUUGCACAAUGGGCGGAAGCCUGAUGCAGCAACGCCGCGUGCGGGAUAACGGCCUUCGGGUUGUAAACCGCUUUCGCCUGUGACGGAGCGUGGGUGACGGUAAUGGGUAAAGAAGCACCGGCUAACUACGUA